GCCAAUUUCACGUGUCUUUAGUAUGUGUAUAUGUCCGUCUUUAUGAUAAACACUUUUAUUUUUAGUUCAUUGAGGAGAUGACCGUAGAGAGGAGUCAAGGGAUGGUGAGGGUGAAGGGCAUUGUCAAUCACACUUUGGAACUUCUGAAGAACUGGGGACUGCCAGAGAACAACAGUAUGCAGCUAGAGCUUGGUUCUGGGCAGGUGAGGAACCUGACCAUUCAGUCCCAAUUUGGAGCUCAGCUAGCAGGACUGGGGCUUCAGCUGAAGGACAGUCCAUUGGCUACUGAACUGAGAGGCAACCUGUGGCACAGUUGGCUUUGGCUUCAAGAGAGAGGUUUUCCACAGACGAUGGAGGCCCUAUGCUCCACACACAGGGUGCUGUCUCAGCUGAGGUCUAGGGCUCACCUCUCCGUGGAUGGUCACAGGCUGCUGGGCUCUGGCCUGAACAUCAGUUUAGCCGAUGGACAUCUAGCCAUGCUGCUCUCUCUGACCCCUCCCUCAUCACCGCGUACAGACUUGCCAUAUAGUCUGGACACCGCCCUGACCGCCCAAUUCACAGGGCCCAUGAGGAGUGUGUCAGUGGACCUGCACUGUAAGGGGAGACGGGUGCGUGUUGUUGGGGAUGUGAGGGGCUGGAGAACCUAUGGAGGGUCCAGGGAGGCCAGAGCCACAAUACAACACAGCUUACAGGGUCAGACCAGUCCUAUUCUACAGGUGGAGGCCUGGGGAAGACUGACUGACUCUCAGCUCAGGUGCUCUGUAGCUGUGAACCCUGAGCUCAGCUCCUCUGUGGCCCUCAUCAUUCAGGGCCAUCAUCUACCAGACAGUAAGGAGCUGAUGGUGAAGGUGGUCCAGAAUAUCCCACAGUUGCUGCUCUAUCUGCCCACUCAACUCAACGCCAGAUCUCAGUUGAAUCAGUCAGGCUCCAGUGUCAGGGGGAUGGUGGAGCUGCAGUCGGGCAAGAGGAAGCUGUGGGCUCUGGGGGAGCUGGCUGUCACUGAGGGCGGCUACCGUCAAGCCCUGGAGCUUAACCAAACCUACCCACAGCUGAAGCCCCUGCCCAGGAACAUUGCAGUGAGGAUGUCGUACGAGGCAAGGAACUGGAGCCACCAGCUGCAGCAUUGGGCCGUGUGGGGCAGUCAGGAGUUCAACAUGGCCGGCCUCUACUCUGCCCCUCCAGGACUGCAGCAGGGAGACCGCAUACUCAAAGUUCAGAUUGCGUCUGUGCGUCACGGGUGCAGUCUGGAUGUGGCGUUAGAGCGUUCCCUCCACGGUAGACUGGGCAGUGUUGUGCUGGGCUGGAACAGACAUGGAAGACAGGAGGAGGUUCGAGCUCUCUCCUUGUGGAGGGGUCAGGGGGAGAGUAGUGAGACAACAUUGGAGCUGAGACAGCCAUUCACCCUAACACUCUCCCAACUCUACCUCCACACGAUCUCACGUGCCUCGGCCAUGGAGCAAAGAAGCAACCAUCAGACCCAUGUCUCCUGGGACAGUGGCUCUCCUGUGAAUGUUUCCCUCACCCUCAGCCAGCAGUGGCUGGACAGCUUCAGCAGGGGACAGGCUUGUGCCCGCUUCUCUCCCGCGCAGGAAGUGGUCCCUUCCCUGGUGGCUGUUGAGGGAUGUGUCUCAAUGGCCAAGGAAGGGAACUCCUACUCCCAGAAUGCUGAGCUGAAGUGGGGCGACAAGAGCCUCAGGCAAAGCAUGAACUACCAGUGGAGUGCCACAGGACUACACACCCUCCAGCUGGAGGCUGGAGCAGAGAACGUGUCUCCCGCCCCCUGUCCCUCACACACCCUGCUGGCCCAGUUCCACACCAACCUCAGAGACAGGAUGGAGCACCACAUACAGGUGGGCCUCUGUCCCCCGCACCUGUCUCUUGGCUGGUCUGGGUACCACAGAGUGAACAUAGGGACAGAGCUGCUGUACACCAAGACCCGUCUCUCUCUGGCAGGACAGCCACACUGCAGCCUCACCCUGGCUCUCACCAACUCCUCUACCGCACACAGCACCAACAUAUCACUGGUAACUGAGUCUAAGAUGGGUAACUGGAGUGUGAAGGUAGGGGGCAGUGCCCUCUCCUCCCUGCUGGGUCCUGGGCUGCAGAUCCAGGUCAGACUCGACCGCAGUGAGCAGGUGUGGCUGAGGGGGGCGCUAGAGGGACGCUGUCUACAUGCCACAGCUGGAUAUGGAAACGGUAUAGGACCAGAUCAGGACCUCACAGUGGCACUGUGUCUGGAGGGCCGACGGAAGUUAGGCCUAACCCUUGAAGUACUGAGACGAGAGGACGGGACUCUGCUUGAGUCACUCACGUCCGUCUCCGUGGGCACAGCCAAUCAGAGCCUGUGGUUACGGGCCAGGGGAUGUGCAGAGAGCCUAUUGGCAGUGGAGGCUCAGGUCCACCAUUUGGGCUCUCAGAUGAGAAGGAAGAUCUUGGAGAGAGUGCAGACGUUACAGCACCUCCUGACAGAAUUCGGGCAGCAGUCUAAGGACAUUGAAUUGCUUCAGGAGCUGAGCGGCGCAGCCUUACGUUUUACCCAGAGAACAGAGGCCCUGCUGGGGCAGAGAGAGGGAGGAGCGUGGGGCUCUUGGAGGGCCAGCCGACUACGCCACGCUCUGACUCACAGUCUGCCACGCCUCCUCCUCCUACUACAGCACGCCUCUCAGCUUGGACAGCAUGAGCUCAGGAGACCACUGUCCACUAUAGCCGGUGCGUACCAUGAUGUGACAGGCCAGAAGGUAGACUCUGUAUGGAGGGAGGCUGUGUCCAUGUGGACUGACAGACUGGUGGAGCUCCUACCCCCCCUACUGGAGAACCCUCAUCUUAGACCAGUAGCCCAGUUCACCCUCACUACCCUCAGCACUAUCCUGGAUGUGGUGAGCCAUCAGACUGGCCACUGGGCAGAGUUGAGGUUGGCAGUAGCCUUGGCGGGGGUCAGAAGACGAUUGGCCUCUGUGUACAAACUCUCCGCAAGUGACUGCUCUGUGUCCAUAACUAUACCCCUGCCCCUGGCGCGGGCCCCUUGGUCCAGGAUGGAGAAGUUCGGGGUGGUAGAGGUCCUUCUGGAGGAGUGGCUCCUCAGGCCCUUGCAGGCCCUCACCUCCCUCAGGCCCACCGCCGAGCUCUACCGCCUGAAACGGAAGAUCACGGACAGCCCCUUCUGCCAUGAAGCUCUGUUGGUGGCCAACCAGUUUGUGGUGUCGUUCGACGGCCACCUAUAUGAGCUGCCAGGCCCGUGUCCUGUCAUCCUAGCCCACGAUAUCACUCAGGAUGACUCCUUCACUGUGCUGCUAGGUUCAGACUCCAGCUCACAGCACACUCUGUUGGUGCGGAUGAAUAACAGCACUGUUGCCAUCCACCACAAUGGAGAGGUGAAAUUCAAUUGUCAUGUCACACAGACAUCCUACAGUGAUAAUGGACUGGUCAUCAGGAAAGAGGGGAAUGUUGUCGAGGUGUCCAAUCAGAAUGGAGCGCGGGUGUCAUGUGACCCAUCGCUCGACCUGUGCAGCCUGACUCUGGAUGGCUGGCUACAUGGUGUGUCCACUGGUGUCCUAGGGACCAAUGACAAUGAAGCAGGAAAUGACUUCCCUCUUCCUGAUGGCUCACAGGCUGACAACAUGGCUGACUUUAUGCACAGCUGGCAGAUCAGUCCUGAGUGUGGCAGUGUACCACAGAUAGCAGAGCCCUGUUCUAAGACGACUGCCGAUACUCUGAGCUGUGACUUUCUCUUCUCUGCCCGUGACUCUCCACUGGGCUCCUGCUUCAGAGUGGUGGACCCAGGCCAGUUCUUAUCGGUGUGUGAGAGAAGCCAUUGUGGCUCUGUCUCGGGCCACUCCGGCGCAUCCUGUAAGCUAGCUGCUGCUUUUGUAUACCUCUGCCAGAGAAACUACGUCCCCUUAGAGCUCCCUGUCCAAUGCAGUAAGUAUGACGUACAGCUAACUCCAUAG
ensembl:lncRNA